rnacentral:lncRNA from 1 species
GUGACAGUUGCCCAAUGAUAUGUGGUACAAAGAGUCAGGGCAAGAGAUAUCAGGCAAAAUCUAAAGACAAGACUUCAGAAUCAUGGAAUAUUACACAUAGCAGGGACUUUGGAAAUCAGCUAGCCCAACCACCUCAUUUUAUAGAUGCAGCAAUUAUGACCGAGAGAGAUUAUGUAACUGGAAAGGCCAAGGUAGCGGUAAGCCAAGUGUGGAACACAGAUCUUGUAAAACUCAUGCCUGGGCUCUUGUUAGGAUCUCAGUGCAUCUUGAAGCUAAGUCAGACUUUGACUCUCUGGGGAGCCCUUAUAGUCUUCCUAUAAAGACAGAAACUAACUGCUGAGGCUUAAAGAUAUAAAACAAACAAGAACACCAGGCAUGGUGGAAAUCAGGACCUCUGUUUAUUCAGUCGGUCAUCUGCUGAUUGAGUGGGUCUGUUCAAUCGUGCAUGUAGCCAUUCCUCUAUUUAUUAAUUCCUUGGACAUGUAUUAGCUGCUUCACUGUGUGGUUCACUGCUAGGCAUGGAGAGUGUAAAGAGAGAUGAUUCCUACUUUCUAGAAACUCACAUUCUAAUGGGGGACAGAUGUCUCUGCCAAUGUUUGUGAUGUAAUGAUACCUCAAAGGGAAAGUGAUUAUUAACUGCUUGGAUCUUGAAAGGUGAAUGGGAGAAUCAAGGAUUGGGAGUGGACAGUCAAAGCAGAUACAGCUUUGGUCUGUGGGGCAAGUGAAAUGACACGAGUAUCUAGAAAAUUCUAAAGUUCUGUAUGGUUGGGAUGUAGGGGUCACCUAGCAGACCCGUGAGAGAUGAGAUAGGAGAAAUAGACAGGAGCCAGGGUACAGAAGGCCUUGCAGUUGAGGAGGCAUUGAUUGCUUGACUUCAAUAUACUAUGAAGUGCUGCCGAGAGAGGGUUUCUUCCAGCAGCUAGAUUAGCAUCAUUUUGUAUUUUAGACUCAACUAUGCAUCUAUGUCCCUUAGCAACAGGUUUUUGUUAAUAUUCUGAGCUCAGAAUGGAAUGGAUAGCCAAAUUGGCUUUGAAGAGCUUUCCUCUGGCAAAUCUACCCCUAAAAGAUACCAACCUUUACAGAGAAGAGAGUUUGCAUGGGUUGAUUAGUACUGAAUGUAGUUUUCUUUAACUACCAUUUGAUGACUCAACUCAUAAUGACAUUUUGUUGGCAUUUCUCCAACUUGCACUUGCCUCUGUUCAACAGGGCAUGCCUUGAGGUCUGAUUAUACGGUUUUCAUUCAUACGACAUGUCUCCCCCUCUGCUUUUUGUAACUUAACAUUCCUGCCUGCCAAGAACGAGGGAGCUUGCUGGCUCUCCCCAUUGGCCUCUUCCAUGAGGUCAUGUGAGUGCUGCUCACUCACAUUUGAGUGCCUGCCACUCUGGAGGUUUUACAGAACAGAAAACUCAGCCUCUGUGUUCUAGAGCUGGAGCUUCUGGGCCUUUGGAAGUCAGUCUUAAUCUCUGAAACAGGAGAGUGCUCCAGGGUUCCAGAGUCUUACAAAAGUGCAGGAAAAUGCACCAAGGUUAUGAUAAAAUGCAAAGCCACACCUAACAUGGGCUCUUCCAAAUUUCAUAAGCAGUUCACAUUAUUUUUUAUUUUUCCACUUUCUUUUUUUUAAUCUUGAAAUUUCCAAAGUCUGUAUCCACAGCCUUGCAUAGUUCUUAGCAACAAACUUAGCAACAAAUCAGAGAAAAAAAUUAGUUAUCUAUAUUUUUAACAAGAUCUGUGAUCUCCUCCACAUCCUCUAACCGCCUUGGGCCUCAGUUUUUUUGUCUGUAACUGGACGGUCACUACAUACUAUUAUUUAAAGAAUUACCUAAUUUGAUUAAGAAAAUCCAUUAAGCCCAAAAAAUGUGAAUACAGAGAUAGGGUACAAAAGCAAAAGUGUAAAAUUAAGACAGGUGAAUGCUAGCAGAUGAAAUAACUCAAACAUUUUACCUUUCCUGCACUCCAGUUGGGCUCAAGGAUAUCAUCCAUGCUUUUGUUUUUGGUUGAAGCUUGAAAAAAUAAAUGACUUAAACCAUAUUCUAAUAGUAACCUGAAUUUAUAUAUAAAACUGACCCAUGUUUGUUUUCCAAAAUGCAUUUUUCCAUUUUCACUCUGCUAGGAAUAAAAGAUAAACAAUGGAGAUAGAGGAAGAAUGGCCUUUGAAUAAGAAUUGUAAAUGCGGCCAGGCGCCGUGGCUCAGCCUGUAAUCCCAGCACUUUGGGAGUCUGAGGCAGGCGGAUCAUGAGGUCAGGAUUUCGAGACCAACCUGGCCAAUAUGGUGAAACCCCGUCUCUACUAAAAAUACAAAAAUUAGCCAGGUGUGGUGGCACAUGCCUGUAGUCCCAGCUACUCGAGAGGCUGAGGCGGGAGAAUUGCUUGAACCCGGAGGUGGAGGUGGUUUUGAGCCGAGAUCGUGCCAUUGCACUCCUGCCUGGGUGACAGAGUGAGAUCCUGUCUC